GACGAACGCUGGCGGCGUGCUUAACACAUGCAAGUCGAACGGAAAGGCCCUGCUUUUGUGGGGUGCUCGAGUGGCGAACGGGUGUGUAACACGUGAGUAACCUGCCCUUGACUUUGGGAAAACUUCAGGAAACUGGGUCUAAUCCCGGAUAGGCGCUCCUGCUGCAUGGUGGGGGUUGGAAAGUUUCGGCGGUUGGGGAUGGACGCGCGGCUUAUCAGCUUGUUGGUGGGGUAGUUGCUUACCAAGGCUUUGACGGGUAGCCGGCCUGAGAGGGUGCGCGGCCACAUUGGGACUGAGAUACGGCCCAGACUCAUACGGGAGACAGCAGUGGGAAAUAUUGCACAAUGGGCGGAAGCCUGAUGCAGAAACGCCGCGUGCGGGAUAACGGCCUUCGGGUUGUAAACCGCUUUCGACUGUGACGAAGCGUGAGUGACGGUAAUGGGUAAAGAAGCACCGGCUAACUACGUG
rnacentral:rRNA from 1 species